GUGUAUUCUUGGGUGAAAUAGAAGUCUUAUAUAAUACAUUUGUAUCUGAUUAGAAUAGUUUUGUUAUCAUCAUUCCAACUAAUUUAUUAACAGAUUUUUCCUGAAUUCGAGGAUAAUGAUGUUAUUACCAGCUGAUUAAGGAGGAGUAGUCAAGUACAAGAGACUGCAGCAUCUAAGACUACAUGUACAUCGACUUUGAAUAAUCUACCCGGUAUAUCCUCAAAAAGGCAACUCAAAUACAGAAAGUGCAUAUAAUUUGGAAAAGAGACCAUCAAUCCACUGGGGGGUAUCGCAUGAAAGCAAUGAUUAUAGAAUAUUGUAAGGCUGGAGGAGUUAUAGUACAACAGGCUGGCAAGUAAUGGUAUAUGUCUGCUCAUCUGGCAAUCUUAGGACAUCACUGGAUGGUUUUGUUUAAAAAGAUUACAGAGUUAACACACACUUCCAGCAGGAAGACCAGCCAGUUGCCUCACCUUUCCUGACAUUGUUAAAGUACUUUGUGACAGUGAAAAGACAUGGCUUUAAAUUACUGCAUCAGAGAUCAAUCCAGGUUAUAAAUCUGAGGAAAACAAGAAAGCAUCACUUCGAGCUACUUAUAUCACUGCCUUAAUAAGUUGUCUGCAUGUGUAACUAACAAAGGACAGUGACCAGUUGUACCCAUGAUAUCAGAGGGCAUCCUGAAAAACGCUCAUCACUAAGAAUAGAAAACUUCAAAUGACAUUUGUAUCAAUCCUUUUGAAUUUCAUCUGACUUGGAAUUUCAGUAGCCUUUGGCAUCCUUCAAGCAUUUCAUGAAGUACAUGUACCAAUUUGCAGGUGUAAAAUGUUUGAAACAGAUUGCUUGUCCCAAAUAAAAAAAAAUAAUUUCUCUGCCAAUUAUCAGUGUCAUAAGCAGUUGAUUGAUAUCACAGUUCCACUGGCAUAGUAUUUGUAGUUGAAUGGUGCCACUUUUAAGAAAACUUUUCACAAAAACCUGGAAAACAUCAGAUGGAAAGAAGCAUCUACAAGAAAAACAGUGAACACUUUCUUGAAUAUUAACAAUGAUAUGCCCAUUU